rnacentral:lncRNA from 1 species
GAGGGCAAGCCACCAUCACUGAAAUCUAAAGGGAAUCCCACCAGUGAAGCUUAGGGAUCUAAGACCUGCCCCACCCACCUCCACGCCCUCUCAAGGGCAACCUGGAGCGGAAAUGAGGCUUAAGGAGGCAUCUGGUGCUCUGUUCCCGGCUCUUCUCCGUCCCUCCCUCCCACGUGGCACUGCUAUAAGGUCAGCUCCACCCCGGAAACAGGCAGUGCUGACUCAGCACAAGGACCCCGCCUGCUUUCCCUUUUUCCUGUGACCUCAUGGUGAGCUGCAGGUAUAAAAUGUUGAAAGGGCUCUCUUCUUAAUGAAGUCCACCGAAAGAAAUGGGAUGCUGCAUUAUCUCAGAUACCAAGCCCACCUGAGCAGGAGCUAGUGUAGGCUUGGACAGAGCAGAGCAGCUGUUUUAUUCUAAUAUUAUAUUGCUUAAUAUUUGAGAGUCUUAAAAGUCGAAAGAUUGAAGGAGGCACCCAAAUAGAACGUAAUUCCAUGGACUGCCCGUUGCUAUAGAACAGUGAUGGCGAGCCUGUUGCAUAGGUUUAAAAGAUGCACACAGAGUCCUCUCUAUGGGCAAGUGGCCACCUCCCAUCCCCCAGUUCCUUACUAGAAAGGCAGAGGGACUUGAGCAGAGCUACUCCCCUCCCCCUCUCCACCAUACCUGAUGACAUCUUUUUCACACGCCAGUCCCUCUGCCCAGCAGCCCAGUGGGAUCGAAGAGGGGACAAAGUGGGCGGCUCAGGACAUUCCCUUCCUCUUCUCCACCAAGCCUGAGGACAUUCCUCGCCUCACCCACCCCUCCAAUCAAAAGCCCAAAGGGGGCACUUUCUCCCUCCCAGGUCUGGGGUUAAGAGGAGGCAGCAGAGUGCUCCUGGCUCUCGGUGAAUCACUGGGUCAAAAUGAGAUAAGCUUGAUCUAUAGCAGCAGUCAUUUUCUAAAGUGAUGAGUCUGGUGCCAUGAAUCAACAGAUGAUGAGAAAGAAAUUCUGAGAAGAAUUAAUUUAUGUACCCAGAGUUAAACCACAUAUAAGGAAAGACUUGGGAUUUGGAUCCACAUCUUCCUGACUUGAAGUCCAACUCAAGAUGGCUUCUUAUAUCUCUAUUUCAACUAAUUUAAGAAAAGAGGAUUCCUGAAGCUGACCUACUGAUUUUUUAAUUUGUAAUGAAAAUGGUAUCAAAUGUAAUAAUUCUUAUAAUCUUAUGAAAAAAUCUGACAUCAUAAUUCUAUAAGAUAGCGUCAAACACAUGUUUAAACAUCCAUGUUAAUUGAAUGUCUCUAUACCUAAGGCUUUAAGUAUUUGUGGUGGCUACCUGGCAAUGAAAAUCCUACUCCAUGGAUGGAGAGAAGAUUAGGGGAAGGAUUGUUUUAUGGUAAGAGAAACAUUGCCUGAAGUUAUGAAAAAUGCUUCACUUAGGAAAAAAUGUAAGUUUAAUAAUUGAAGUGUUGUUUUCCUAUCAAGCCACAAUGUAGUACUCUUUUUAAAGUCUCCAUUGUCUCUUCUUCAGUCUUUCACAUUCAGAUGCCUAAAUUACCUUUCCUAGAGACUUGCCUGGAUGAUGACACAUAGCAUAACAAUUCAGAGCUGUGCUGCAAAGUGAAAUCAUUGUCACAGGAAUUCUGGACUUAGAUAGUUUUGGUUUACUUUUUUCCCCUCCUUUCUUAUUUAUAACAUUCAAGAAGUCAAAGCUAUGACAUUAUUAUUAUUAUGUUGACAACUCUUCUUAUGUUACAGAUUCCUAAAAACCGAUUGCAUUUGACUGCCUCUGGAAUGAUACAUACAUCACAUAUAAUCAAGUAAAAUUUGAUAAUCAAAAGAAAUUUUCAAGUAUUAUUUUUUAUUAUUUAUUUGAAUAUUUUGUACUUGGUUAUUUUCUUUGUUAAAGUUUCAGGCACUUCAUAGAGUACAAUUGUAAACAUCCCCAUAAUAAUACUCAGCAGUAGGUAGAUGAUUGCUAGGUCCAAUAUCCUUAG